ensembl:rRNA 5S_rRNA 5S ribosomal RNA
GUUUACGGCCAUACCACCUUAGGCACGUCUGAUCUCGGAAGCCAAGCAGGGUCGGGCCUGGUUAGUACUUGUAUGGGUGACCGCCUGGGAAUACCAGGUGCUGUAAGCA